rnacentral:rRNA from 1 species
AUGUUCCCAUGGCCCGGGCCUUGCCUCCUCCUCUUGGCCGUCGCCGUCGCCGUCUCCGCGAUCAUCCCGGCGCCGAUGCUCGCCGCGGCGGCCUCCGAGCCGGAACGAUGCGGCAGCGUGACCGUAUCGCGCCCGUUCGGGGUCGUCCAUGGCUCUGAGGAGAACCGGUGCGCCCAGAUGGGGUUCCAGGUCCACUGCAAGGACCACGUCCCCUACCUCGGGUACUACGAGCCCGACUACGGGCUGCGGAUCCUCCACAUCUUCGUCCACAACGGCUCCCUGCUCGUCUCCGACGCCCACAAGCUCCAAGACUUCGACGGUAGGUCCAGCCCCCAAGGCUGCCAUGUCCCCACGGCCGACACGGCCACCAAAGUCGGGGACCCGUUCUCCAUCAGCCCCCUCAACCAGAACCUCGUCUUCUACAACUGCACCAGGGCGCCGGGGCGCCCAGUGGGGCUGCUGGACACAGUGUGCCGGAACAACACUUUUGUCCGCGCGGGAGGGCCGUACAACGCGUCCGGCGGGAUCGACGGCGGGUACGCUCUGGAGGGCUGCAACGCCACCGCCGUGCCGGUGCUCGGGGCGUCCGGCGACGUGAAUGCCAGCGACUACGAGAAGCUCAUCAGGGAUGGCUUCCUCCUGACAUGGCAGCCGCCGAGUGCCGGCAACGGUGAGUUCAGUCGUUGA